GACGAACGCUGGCGGCGUGCCUAAUACAUGCAAGUCGAACGCUUCUUUCCUCCCGAGUGCUUGCACUCAAUUGGAAAGAGGAGUGGCGGACGGGUGAGUAACACGUGGGUAACCUACCCAUUAGCGUGGGCUAACACUUGGAAACAGGUGCUAAUACCGCAUAACAGUUUAUGCCACAUGACAUAAGAGUGAAAGACGCUUUCGAGUGUCGUUGAUGGAUGGACCCGCGGUGCAUUAGCUAGUCGGUGAGGUAACGGCUCACCAAGGCCACGAUGCAUAGCCGAGCUGAGAGGGUGAUCGGCCACACUGGGACUGAGACACGGCCCAGACUCCUACGGGAGGCAGCAGUAGGGAAUCUUCGGCAAUGGACGAAAGUCUGACGGAGCAACGCCGCGUGAGUGAAGAAGGUUUUCGGAUCGUAAAACUCUGUUGUUAGAGAAGAACAAGGACGUUAGUAACUGAACGUCGCCUGACGGUAUCUAACCAGAAAGCCACGGCUAACUACGUG
rnacentral:rRNA from 1 species